UUUCGGUAGGUGAACCUGCGGAAGGAUCAU
rnacentral:rRNA from 1 species